AAUAAAGUGCGUUGCCAAUUGCCAUAGCUCAUGACAAAGAACCAGCAAAUUAGGAGGCUGCCAGAGUGCUCGUAUUAGACAAAGUUGUCUGUAAACGGCUUAUUAACCUGGAAAAGCAGGACUACUUUGGCAAUGGUAAUCCAAGAUAAACCUAGAGGAAAAUCAAAUGUCUCUGGGACGAGCCAAAGAAAAGAGUCUGUGCAUUCUCAGCAUAGGUUCUGAUGGGAAAGUGUUAGGGGCUGAAAUCAGCAGCCGUGUGGUGUGGCAGCUGCAGUGCGUUCACUGGCCAGAGUGCAGAGCAGACUGCUGGAAACAGUUUUGUCCACAGGUAGUGGUGUACAUCUGUGAUCCCAGCCCUCAAGAAGUUGAGAGAUGUCAAGAUUGAGGUUGACAGAAGCCUUCGUCAGUUCCAAGUCAUCUGGGUUACAUGCAAGGUGGCAUCCUUCGGCUGAGUAAAUGAAGCCUGUGGACCACUGAAAUGAGUUACAACAUCAAAACAAAAGAUGGUGUUGAACUGUGCAGAGAAGGAAAAGACAGUGAAUCUGAAGGCUGUCUAAGAGGUUGAGGAAAUCACUUGGGGAAGAUCAGCUUGCGUCGACUUCAGGUUUGCUAAUUAUUCUUACGGGAAAGCAGCUGUGCUACACCACCUGAGGGGUCAACAGCUGUAUGUUCUUCAGCCCACCUUUAUGAGAAUCAAAUUGUUUAAAACAAAACAUGAGCUGGUGAGUUUGUUUUUCUAGAAAGCAAAUGUGAGACCCAGUGUUACAGAGCUUUCUAUCCAUCCUCAUAGGCCGUAAUUUCUUUCACAUGCACAUUUUAUAGCCAAAGACUCUAUAAUCCAGAGCCAUUGAUGUUUAUGAUCUCCCAAAUCCCUUCAAAAAUGAAAUUAUGCCCUGCAUGAUCUUCCCCAAAGAACAGCAAAGCAAAUAAUUGUGUUAUAAUGAUGUUUUCCACCGAAGAUGUUAAAAUGUUAACUUUAUCUGAUUUCAACCCCAGCUUCUGAAAAUAUAUGCAGUUAAGAUGUAUAUGUUAAUUCCUAUCCACUAAGAGCACUCACCUGUUUAUUAUUAAUGCUGAGGCUAUUAAACAAUACUUUACAAUGAAUCAAGGUUUUAAUGUAUUUAAUAUAUGUGCCUAUUUGUUGUGCAUCGUAAGCUUAGAGGUUCUGAAUUUCUUUGGAAGUCUAGAAAUGAUAUACAUUGUCAAAGUAAGACAUUGUCAUCCUGUUUAAUGUAAACUACAAAUAUGCAACCUCAUUUUACUCUUCAUGCUCUGGCUCCAGAAACCUCAAAUUCUAACGUGUUGAAGACUCUCUGGUUACUGUGCUUUCUGUUGCUGUAAUCAGCACCAUGACCCAAAGGAACUUGCGGGGAAGAAAGCACUUCGUCUCGUAUAUCUCUGUCACAGCCCACACUGAGGGAAGGCAGGCCAAGAACUCAAGCUGCACCAUGGAAGCAGAGACUGAAGGAUAACAAUGGAAUAGUGCUGGCUACUAGCUUGUUUUCUUGCUUCUGUUCAGCUACAUUUCUUAUAUAUCCUGGCCACCUCUGCCUGGUGAUGGUAUGACCCACAAUGGAAAUAGACCCUCCUACACCAACAGCAAUGAAGAAAAUGCCCCAGAGAAAUGCCCUUGGCCCAAGAAGAUGGAAGAGAUUCCUUAGCUGACCCCUUUUGUCAGGUGUGUCAAGUUGACAAGAAUGACCGUUGCAGCCAUUCCAUCAAACUGUAUAGUUAACACUCUUUGCUCUUUUCUUCAUUCUAAUUUUCUGUUUGUCUCAAGUACCUCAAAUGGUUACUGGAUAUAUCAUUUUCCCUAUCUGUCUAAAUGUUCAAAAGAGGAUCCUACGAGAAGAUAAAUAGAUGAAUAAAAUAUU